UACGUAGGGCGCAAGCGUUAUCCGGAAUUAUUGGGCGUAAAGAGCUCGUAGGCGGUUUGUCGCGUCUGCCGUGAAAGUCCGGGGCUCAACUCCGGAUCUGCGGUGGGUACGGGCAGACUAGAGUGAUGUAGGGGAGACUGGAAUUCCUGGUGUAGCGGUGAAAUGCGCAGAUAUCAGGAGGAACACCGGUGGCGAAGGCGGUUCUCUGGGCCUUACCUGACGCUGAGAAGCGAAAGCAUGGGGAGCGAACAGG
rnacentral:rRNA from 1 species